GGGAGGCUCCAUCAGGCGCUCGUUUGCACUCCUCACCUGGGGGAUCUGGACCAGAGAGCUGACCAAAGUCGCCUUUCUCAGGAUGCGGCCCCAGGAUGCUGCAGGAGACAGGAGGCACACGCUGCAGCCAGGAGCAGGUCAGCUUCAGGCAGCCAUAAGGCCCUGGGGUGGAAUCCUACCCUGGUAAGAAGGAUGCAGGGAAGGGGAAGUGCCUCACCGCUGCAGUUGUGAAAGUGAGUCCCGAAUCCUCUCCAGGACUUUCAGGUGGUCUGUAGAAGUUGGAAAUCAGGAGACCGGGUUAGGGCAGUGAGGGAGGGGCCUGGGAUCUCACAGGAGGCUGAGUGGAUGUUUCUUGAGGGAAGACCAUGGGGAGUCAGACCCUGGAAACCACGUGUCUGUGUCCGAGGCCACAUGGCCUGGACGGUGAUAGCGAGGCACGGAGGGCAAGGCUUUGUUGUCCACAAAGGGCUUCCACACACAGACCACCCCCCCCAUCUCCAUAGUUCUCACAGCUGCCCAGUGGGGAGAAAGGACUGGGGUGGUCUCAGAGGAGUCAGCCUUAGCAGAGUUGAACAGCUGUCCACAGCCCCCUCACCCCCCUCCUGAUUCAGACAGGCAUUGGUCUCCUCCCCCUACACUGUGCCCUGCUGGAGAACAGCCAGUCCUUGGCCCACCAUGGUUUCAUGCCAGCACGGAAUCUGAGAGGGACCCGGGGUUCUGAUUUCCUUCCUAGGAGCCCCCACCUCAGGCUUCUUCAGUUGACUUCCUCAGACAGAGUCGCUUCUCUCCGGGGACAGACGAGAUCAAAUGAACUCUAGUGUGCCCGGCAGAGCCUUACCUUUCAGACUGCGGUUUUUCUUCCUGCCUUUGGGCCUCCCCCUCUGCUGACCCUGGGAGAGAAGGUGACCCUGGGAGACAAGAAAGGGCGAGGGGCUGAGACCAGCUCUCGCUCUCCGCCCCCAGUCCGGCUGCGGCGCUCACGAACAGCACAGCUCUCUCGUCUUGCUCAGGGAGCGGUGUGCUUCCUCCCACUCAUGUUUAAUUGGAUGAUAAACUGCUUUUCUUCUUAGAAAAACACAAAGAGGGGGCCAGACGCGGUGGCUCACGCCUGUAAUCUGAGCGUUUGGGGAAGCCAAGAAAGGUGGAUCACCUGAGAUCAGAAGUUUGAGACCAGCCUCGCCAGCAUAGUGAAACCCUGUCUCUGCUAAAAAUAACAAAAAUUAGCCGGGCGUGGUGGCGCGUGCCUGUAAUCUCAGCUACUCCGGAGGCUGAGGCAGGAGAACUGCUUGAACCUGGGAAGCAGAGGCUGCAGUGAGCCGAGAUCGCCACUGCACUCCAGCCAGGGUGGCAAGAGUGAGACUCCGUCUCAAAAAACAAACAAUAAAACCCACCACAAAGAGGGAUUUACUAUAUGAGGAAAUAUAUAUUAUACAUAUAUAUAAAAUAUGUAUUUCACAUAUAAACUAUAAUAUGCAUAAUGUAUAAUAUAUAAUGUAAUGUAAGUACGGUAGAGGUGCUCCUCUACUCGACGAACACCCAGGCUCAGGCCCGCUGGCACACCUGAGCUGUCAGGUAGGAUUCUGCUUCUCAGAAGAUCAGAGGAGACUCCAGGCCCAGGUGGGAGGCCCUCGGAGGCUCAGCACAG